rnacentral:misc_RNA from 1 species
GAUGAAGAACGUAGCAAAAUGCGAUAAGUAAUGUGAAUUGCAGAAUUCAGUGAAUCAUCGAAUCUUUGAACGCACAUUGCGCCCGCCAGUAUUCUGGCGGGCAUGCCUGUUCGUGCGUCAUUUCAACCCUCAAGCACAGCUUGGUGUUGGGACUCGCGUUAAUUCGCGUUCCUCAAAUUGAUUGGCGGUCACGUCGAGCUUCCAUAGCGUAGUAGUAAAACCCUCGUUACUGGUAAUCGUCGCGGCCACGCCGUUAAACCCCAACUUCUGAAUGUUGACCUCGGAUCAGGUAGGAAUACCCGCUGAACUUAAGCAUAUCAAUAAGCGGAGGA